rnacentral:rRNA from 1 species
GAUGAACGCUGGCGGUGUGCUUAAUACAUGCAAGUCGAGCGAACUGACGAGAACUUGGCUUCUUUGAUUUUAGGGGGGGAGGGGUGAGUAACGCGGGGAUAACCUACUUAGUAGAGUGUGAUAGUUUGGGGAAACAGGAGCUAAUAUCGAUUAACAUCUGAAACCAGAUUGUUCAAAAGUGAAAGAGGGUCCUGCUGUCACUGUUAGAUGGAUGCGCGCUGCAUUAGCUAGCGGGGAAGUUAACGUCUUACCAAGGCAACGAUGCAUAGCCGACCUGAGAGGGUGGUCCGCCACCCGGGAACUGAGACACGGUCGCGACUCCUACGGGAGGCAGCAGUAGGGAAUCUUCCGGAAUGGGCGAAAGCCUGACGGAGCAACGCCGCGUGAGUGAUGAAGGUCUUAGGAUCGUAAAACUCUGUUAUUAGGGAAGAACAUAUGUGUAAGUAACUGUGCACAUCUUGACGGUACCUACUCAGAAAGCCACGGCUAACUACGUG